GAAGUAGUGACUCGGCCAGUAACUCGUGCCUGAGCGAGGGAGAGUAGAUGUACUCUUGUUAGGCGAGUUGAGUGUAAACUUGUGCCCGGAGAAAGGUAAGCUUACUAAACUCGUGCCUAGACAGAGGCGAGUAGUACUUUGACUAGGCGAGUUGGCUAGUGAACUCAUGCCUAGGACGCGAGUUGUACUCUUGCUAGGAGAGUUUACUAUGAAAUCGUCCCUAGAAGUAGUGACUCGGCCAGUAACUCGUGCCUGAGCGAGGGAGAGUAGAUGUACUCUUGUUAGGUGAGUUGAGUGUAAACUUGUGCCCGGAGAAAGGCAAGCUUACUAAACUCGUGCCUAGACAGAGGCGAGUAGUACUUUGACUAGGCGAGUUGGCUAGUGAACUCAUGCCUAGGACGCGAGUUGUACUCUUGCUAAGAGAGUUUACUAUGAAAUCGUCCCUAGAAGUAGUGACUCGGCCAGUAACUCGUGCCUGAGCGAGGGAGAGUAGAUGUACUCUUGUUAGGUGAGUUGAG
rnacentral:lncRNA from 1 species